GGUUUACCAUGCAGAAGAAAUCUCGAGAUUUCUUCUGCAUGGUAAACCUUUU
rnacentral:siRNA from 1 species